CUUCCCCCAGCCUCUGUCGGGAGCUCCGGAAAAGCCUGGAGAUUCUGGGAGCAGAAUGCACAUUCCAGGGUUGGGAGCUAAGGCCAGGCUGGAGAUCGGGCACCGUCAUCAGAAGUAAAAAACAUACGAUUGUCUUGACUUCAGUCUGUUGCUUGCUGUCAGGUACUAACAGUGAAUGGAAAUUUCCAUCCAGCCUAACACUGACUGAUUCCGAGGACACAUGGGUGCCCAUGUUGCUCUGUUUGCCACAGUGAUUACCCACCGUCACUCCGGCUUCUGAGACCAUAUCGGAGCCUACAGACUCUCACUCUGGUCUGCUGUCAUCACAAAUGCCAAACAUUUACCAAAAGUGCUAAGUCUCUGGACCCAUGGGUUUAGCUCAUUUUGAAAACAGAACUGGACUUUUUACCCAGAACCAGAAAACAUUGAAAACAUUAAACAACAAAAAUCUGUGGUGUGUUUAUUAAAAGCAAAGAU